AACUUUCAGCAAUGGAUCACUUGGCUCUCGCAUCGAUGAAGAACGCAGCGAAAUGCGAUAAGUAAUGUGAAUUGCAGAUCUACAGUGAAUCAUCGAAUCUUUGAACGCACCUUGCGCUCCUCGGUGUUCCGAGGAGCAUGCCUGUUUGAGCGUCAGUAAAUUCUCAACCCCUCUCGAUUUACUUCGAUAGGGCGCUUGGACACUGGGGGCUGCCGGAGACCAAGACUUUUCGUCUAGGACUCGGGCUCUCCUGAAAUGAAUAGGCUUGCGGUCGGCUUUCGACUUUGCAUGACAAGGCUUUUGGCGUGAUAAUGAUCGCCGUUCGCUGAAGUGCAUGAAUGAAUGGUCCCGUGCCUCUAACACGUCGACGCCUUCUGGCGUCUUCCUUAUUGACUUUUGACCUCAAAUCAGGUAGGACUACCCGCUGAACUUAAGCAUAUCAAUAAGCGGAGGCU
rnacentral:misc_RNA from 1 species